rnacentral:rRNA from 1 species
UGCGUAGGCGGCUCGGUAAGUUGGGUGUGAAAUCCCUCGGCUCAACCGAGGAACUGCGCCCAAUACUGUCGGGCUCGAGGGAGACAGAGGUGAGCGGAACUUGCGGUGGAGCGGUGAAAUGCGUUGAUAUCGCAAGGAACACCCGUGGCGAAAGCGGCUCACUGGGUCUCUUCUGACGCUGAGGCACGAAAGCUAGGGGAGCGAACG